GAUGAACGCUGGCGGCGUGCCUAAUACAUGCAAGUCGAGCGAACGGACGCGAAGCUUGCUUCUCUGAUGUUAGCGGCGGACGUGUGAGUAACACGUGUAUCCCCUCCCUAUAUUACUGGUAUCACUUCGGAAAUCCGGCUCUAAUCCCGUAUAAUCUUUUGAACCGCAUGGUUCAAAAGUAAAAUACGGUCUUGCUGUCACUACUCGCUGCUUCCGCGCUGCAUUGGCUAGUUGUUAGGGUACCGGCCUACCAAGGGUACCAGGCCUAGCCGACCUGAGGGGGGGAUAGGCCGCACGGGAACGGAGACAGGGUCCAGACGCCUAAGGGAGGCAGCAGUAGGGAAUCGUAGGCAAUGGGGGGAAGCAUGACGGAGCAAGGCCGCGUGAGUGAUGAAGGUCUUCGGAGCGUAAUACUCUGUUAUGAGGGAAGAACAGAUGUGGAAGGAACUGUGCACAGAGUGACGGUACCUAAUCAGAAAGCAACGGCUAACUACGUG
rnacentral:rRNA from 1 species